GCAUAGUGAGGAUGCUUAAGGGAUUGUCAAACAGGAGGACAGGUGCAACUAGUAUAAAUGCAGAAAGCUCACGCUCACAUAGUGUUUUCACUUGUGUUGUUGAAUCUCGAUGCAAGGUAAUAACUGCUGCAAUUUAAA